GCAACAAUCCAUUUUUUUGGGCAUGAGGCAAUCCAUGUUCUUUUUUUUUCUGCAGGGUACCGUAGUUGUAUAGCUCAAGCACUCGUGCAAGGAGCUCGUCAACCUCCACAGACAGUUCCAAAAUUAUCCAGCAGGGGAGAUCAAGUACAAAGCAUGAAGCAGAUAUGAUGUGCAGUAUGAACCAGCUCAAGUAAAUAAGUAUAUAUGUAGUGAGAGCAAGUAUAU